rnacentral:tRNA from 1 species
GGCGAAGUAGCUUAGUGGUUAUAGUACCACGCUCAUAACGUGGUGGUCGCGGGUUCAAGACCCGCACUACGCUCGCAAGUAUGCAUAUUAUCAAGGCGAGCGAAGUGGUUUCCUUCAAAAUGAUUCCUUGGAUGAAAAUCCCGCCUUCGCCA